AUGGCAGCUGGCACUAAGGGCGACGGCUCGGCGAUCGGCAUCGACCUCGGGACGACCUACUCCUGUGUGGCCGUGUGGCGGCCGGUGCACCAACGCGUGGAGGUCAUCGCCAACGACCAGGGCAACCUCACCACGCCUUCCUGCGUCGCCUUCACCGACACCUGGCGUCUCAUCGGCGACGCGGCCAUGAACCAGGCUGCCAUGAACCCCGUCAACACCGUCUUCGAUGCAAAGCGGCUGAUCGGUCGACGCUUCAGCGAAGAGGUGCAAGGAGAUAUGAAGUUGUGGCCUUUCAAAGUCAUUUCAGGCCGUAGCGAUCGACCAAUGAUCGUGGUGAAGUACAGGGGCGAGGAGAAGCAGUUCGCUGCUGAAGAAAUAUCCUCCAUGGUGCUUGUCAAGAUGAGGGAGACAGCGGAGACCUACCUUGGCACCACGGUGAAGGAUGCUGUCAUCACCGUGCCAGUCUACUUCAACGACUCGCAGCGCCAGUCCACCCUCGAUGCUGGUGCCAUUGCUGGCCUCAACGUCACGCGCAUUAUCAACGAGCCCUCCGCCGCAGCCAUCGCCUACGGUCUCGACGAUACUUCUGCUAAUGGUGAAGCUAAGACGGUGCUCAUAUUUGAUUAUGGUGGUGGCACCUUGGAUAUCUCUGUCAUCAAAAUUGACAAUGGUACCUUUAAUGUCAAGGCCACGUCUGGUGACACCCACCUUGGAGGGGAGGAUCUCAACAACCGGAUGGUGGAGCAUUUCGUGCAGGAUUUCUUGAAGAAACACAAGAGUGACCUCAGAAGCAACCCGAAGGCGCUGAUGCGGCUCAGGACUGCUUGCGAGAGGGCCAAGAGAAUGUUGUCUUCCACGGCAGAGGCUAAGAUCGAGAUCGACUCCCUCCACGACGGCAUUGACUUCUACGCGACCAUCACCCGCGCCCGGUUCGAGGAACUCAACUUGGACCUCUUCAGCAAGUGCAUUAUGCAUGUGGCGAAGUGCCUUGGCGACGCCGAGAUGGACAAGUCACAGGUCCAUGACGUUGUGCUUGUGGGUGGCUCCACCAAGAUCCCCAAGGUGCAGCAGCUGCUGCAGGAUUUUUUUCACGGGAAGAAGCUCUGCAAGAGCAUCAACCCCGACGAGGCCGUCGCCUACGGCGCUGCUGUCCAAGCCGCCAUCCAUAACGGCCAGUACAACCAGAAGGUGAACGACUUGGUCCUUCUCGAUGUCACGCCGCUGUCGCUCGGGAUAGAGUUGGUAGGUGGUGUCAUGAGCGUGGUGAUACCCAGGAACACUACCAUCCCGGCCAAGAAGGAGAGGGGUUAUACAACCGACGUUGACUACCAGACCGCCGUGCCCUUCUCGGUGUACGAGGGGGAAGCAGGGUUGGUCAAGGAUAACAAUCUGCUCGGCAUGUUCAAUCUCACUGGCGUCCCUCCAGCGCCGAGGCUCGUGCCAAAGCUCAAUGUGACGUUCGAAAUCAAUGCAAAUGGCAUCCUGGAAGUAACGGCGGAGGAAAGGCCGACCGGAAACAAGAACAGCAUCACCAUCACCAACGACAAGGGCGGGCUGAGCAAGCAAGAGAUUGAUAGGAUGGUUCGUGAUGCCAACAAGUACUAG
rnacentral:rRNA from 1 species